AUUCCAUAGUGAGGGCAUUUGCAAUGUAGCUCUUUGAAUCUUUCUCAUGCCUUGGAUAGGGACUCAUCAUCCAUUUGCUGAAAAGUGGUGAUCUCAUUCCGCAGCUU
rfam:Gossypium arboreum cultivar AKA8401 contig_112036_1, whole genome shotgun sequence.